AGUGUACAGCUCAGCUCUUUGACCUAGCUCUUCCUUUUCAAGGG
rnacentral:ribozyme from 1 species